rnacentral:piRNA from 1 species
UACUUUUGAGGUGAAAAGCUAAGCUAGGGC